CCUACGGGAGGCAGCAGUGGGGAAUAUUGGGCAAUGGGCGCAAGCCUGACCCAGCAACGCCGCGUGAAGGAAGAAGGCUUUCGGGUUGUAAACUUCUUUUAAGAGGGAAGAGCAGAAGACGGUACCUCUUCAAUAAGCCACGGCUAACUACGUGCCAGCAGCCGCGGUAAUACGUAGGUGGCAAGCGUUGUCCGGAUUUACGGGGUGUAAGGGUCGUGCGGCCGGGAAGACAAGUCAGGUGUGAAAUCCCGCGGGUUAACCGCGGAACUGCAGUUGAAACUGUUUUUCUUGAGUACCGGAGAGGUAAUCGGAAUUCCUGGUGUAGCGGUGAAAUGCGUAGAUAUAAGGAAGAACACCAGUGGCGAAGGCGGAUGACUGGACGGCAACUGACGGUGAGGCGCGAAAGCGUGGGGAGCGAACAGGAUUAGAUACCCGAGUAGUC
rnacentral:rRNA from 1 species